UGCUGCAACUGCCGAUGCUGCUACUC
rnacentral:piRNA from 1 species